UGCAUUGGAAGCAGUUCAGAGAAGAUUUACCAGACUAAUACCAGGAAUGCAAGGGUUGUCUUAUGUGGAAAGGUUGGACAGACUAGGCUUGUAUCCGCUGCAGUUUAGAGGAGUAAAAGAUGGCUUGACUGAAACAAACAAGGUCCUGAGGGGUCUUGACAGGGUGCAUGUGGAGAGGAUGUUUCCUCUUGUGGGAGAAUCUAGAAUUCAGGGUCACUGUUUAAAAAUAAGAGGUUGCCCAUUUAAGACAGCGAUGAGGCAAAUUUUUUUCACUCAGUGGGUCAUGAGUCUUUGGAACUGUCUUCCUGAAAAGGUGGUGGGAACAGAGUCUUUGAAUAUUUUUAAGGCAGAGGUGGAAUAGAUUCUUGGUUAUCGAUGGUGAAUCGGUUAUCGGCGGUAGGUGGGAUGUAGAUUUCAUGUUACUGUCAGAUCAGCCAUGAUCUUAUUAAAUGGUGGAGCAGAUUCGAGGGGCUGAAUGGCCUACUCCUGCUCCAUCUUCGUGUGUACUGAAAUUGGGAAUCUAAAGGAUGGACUAAGGCUGUUAUAUUGGUGAGCUGAGAAUCUGAUAUUUAUCUGGGAAAUUCAUCAUUGUUAGACUCAUCUUCAGAGCUGAAGACCAUUUCCUCCUUGUCACUUGGCUCCUCCAUCAGGAGUGGGUCGUCCUGCUCCUCUUAGUUCAUGGCAACAGGUAUGGCAAGUUGUUGUAGACGCAGAGAGCUUCUUGUGGCUUGCUUCAUUGCCGUAACUGCAUGGAAGAUGUGGCAAGCCAUGUUGCAAACUUUAUGGGCCCUGGGGUGAGCCAGCCACGAGAAAAAGUCUAGUGGUGAAUCGCUCAAUGUGAUGAUAGACAGCGCCUUCGUACAGCUCCAAGAAGGCAAUUAAGAACAUAAAAGGAGGAGUACACCAUGUGACCCUUUGAGCCUGCUCCAUCAUCUGACAUCAACUGUGACUCUUUGGAAGAGGAAAGUCGGGACUCCUGUGGGAGGUAAAGGAAAGGCAAAGCCCAUAAUCACCAAGACUCAUGCUGAAUGACAAAAGGAAUACAGAAAUUGGGUAAAAGAGAUGGAUCAGAUACACUGUAAAUUAUGGAGAAUGGUAAGAACAGGAAAGCAGAAAGGAAGGGACCGGGAGCCAGGCAGAGAAAAAUCACAAAGAUACAGAGAAAGGCAGAAAGCAACAGGAUGUGAAGGGUCAGCACCAAAGUGACAGGUAACCCAUGGAGAGAAGAUUGCUCAAACUGAGAAGUGGAGAGCAGCAAAAAGAAGACAAAGAGCUGCAAUGUUUGCUCAGAAGAAAAGGCAAAUUAUUGAGAGAUGACAACACCUGUAUGCACAGAGGAAAGCAGAGAGAGCUUCUACAUAUUUCAGAGAUUCAACACAUUUGCCCUUCAAACUAGACAGAGCUGGACACAAGGACAUACCAAAGUCAUGUUUGCAAAAGUUGUUUCUUCAGUUGUGCAAAAGACAACUCCAAGAAAAAAGGCAGCAUUGAAGAAAAAGUGCAUUCUCAUCCCUUGAUCAAAAAAGAAACUGUCAUUCUCUUGGGAAAAUAGUGGCCAAACCAUCCUGCAUCACAUAAGAAAAAAAGUAAUGAACAAGACACCUUCGACUAUGAAGGUUACUUCACCACAUCACUGCUGUAAAAAAAACUUAAGAAAACGACUGCCAACAAAGCUCUUGGACUGAGAGGGAACUUCCUGUCCAAAUCAAACUUGCAAUGUAUACUCAAGAUUUUUGUAAGAGGACAAAUUAUGUCCUAAAUGAAUAAACAAAGAAAGUGAUCAAACCUUUCUUCACCAGAGCUGACAUCUCAAGAGAGUUGCCCUGCCAUGUCUCAAAAUAUGCUCUAAAGAAAGUAAUGGAGUGCUCACUAAAGGAGAUGUAUGCUCUCAUCUGUGAAGAACAUCCAACUAUUAUCAUUAGUUUCACCACCUUCAACAAACUGAGACCAAAGAACAUAAGAGCCAUGUCCAAACAAAGUCCUUGCAAUGCUUAUGUGAGCGUUGUGUCAAUGUAGAGUUUCUUCUUCAGGCCUGUCAAACAAAUGUCAUCAAAUAGGUCAAGUUGAUGUUGUGAUCAAUAAUAACUAGGAUGCUGUUAAUGAGAUGCUAUGGCCCCUGAUAGGUAACUUUCCAAGAAGAGAGUGCACCCAAGGAAAAUGUGAUGAUCCUGGGGUUGAGAAUCUCAAGAUAAAGCUGCUCCCUAUUCCGUGUGAGCAAGGGUCUCUGAGAAUGAAAUGGAAGGAACGGACCUCAAAGAAUCAUGAGGAAGCUGAUCAUUUGGCUCUUGUGGAGGGAGUUGGAACAGUCAAAGAACUUUUGGGGGCUCUGGAAUAGAGGUUGACUCCUUUGCCAAACACUUGUCAAAUAUGAAAAGGCAGGGUCAACAGUUUGACUUGAUCAAAGACAACUUACCAGGCAACUGAAUGGUCUCCUGUUUAGACUUUGGGGGGAACUAAUUGUCACUUUCAAGACAAAACCCAAAGUGCUCAUUGGAGCUAUAACCAGGCUAUCAUCCACCCUGCUGUCACAGACUAUCAGUGUCCAAGGCAGGGAUGUUCAAAGCCCAUGUGUGGGUCCAUGGUGAUCAUUUCCAGUGACAAGGAGCAUGACCAAUAUGCUGUGCAGCAUUGUGUUUGGUUAGCCAACAGUCAUCUUGUUGCCUCUGUGGUGAAGAUAGUCUGUGAAAUUCACUUCUCGGAUGAUGCACCCAGCCAGUAUAAAAAUGAGCUGCACUUUGUAGAUGUGACUUUUGGUCAAGAAGACUUUGGGUUUCCAAUCAUAAAGCACUUUUCCAGAAGCUGUCAUGGGAAAGGCCCAUGUGAUGCAGAGAUUGGCAUUGUGAAAAGAACUACUCUGACAGCUGUGAAGACCAGACAGGCCAUCAUUAGUAAUGCGCAGGACAUGAAGGAGACUCUAACUAUCCCAUGACGAGAGGAAGGUACGAUUCCGAGAAAGAGUAGAGACAGGCGUUCGACCUAAGGGCAACCAGGGACAAGAAAGGGAGGCAUUGUUUCAUGGGACCUGAACCAUUCAUUAUCUCCUCAAGAGAGCAGUGUUGCUUCUGCAUAUCAAACAUCAGAGAAAACAGCAGCAUGUCUGAACCAGAGCUUCACUGGCAACUGGGAGAAGUUUCUUCUACCUUGACAGUCUAAUGGCAGAAAAAUGAGGAUCUCCAACACCCCCCGAGAUGCAGUCAACAUAGCAUCAGUUGACUGCAACCUGACAACAUCACUUGAGGUUGAUACCAGUCAAUCACCACAGGAUCCAACUAAUGAAGACAUUGAUGUCUCUUCCAUGGACAAACUGGCAGAUAACUAACCCAGUGCCCCAUCUGGAAGUGCUAUUCCUGACAGGUUGAUGGGAUCAAAGUUACUGAAGUUGUAACCAUAAAAAUAACUGCACCAUGUGAGAGAAGAACUUGUGUGGUAUUUUUCCCUCAUAAAGGUCCUCAAUUUUUUUUUUUCUUUUAAAAAUUCAAAUAAUUAAGUUAUAUGAAAAUGGAAUAUAACACAAAGAACUAUUAUGAUUAGCUGCAAUUUUAAAACUGUUGAAUGUUUGAUAUGGAACCACACACAUUUUCUUCCUCAAUUAAUGUUUGUAUAGUGCUGCAAAAGUGAUAAAAUCUCAUGGUAUGUCGAAACGUUCUGAAGAUAUUGUUUUCCCCCAUGUCAGUGCAUUUUUGGGCUUCCCCUUUUCACUUUCAGAAUAUAAUAUCAAGGAAAGAGACUUUGUUGCAGUGAAGCUCAAGAGCAAGCAAUCAUACAACAUCUUCAUGGUAGAAGUAGGCAAUAUUUGCUGCAGUAUAACUAUUAAUUCAUUUGUAAAGACUGAUGUAAGCUAAUCAAGCACUUUUAGCCCAAAUGCCAAGACUGAAGGAGCUAAACAAGCAUGGAAAUAUAUCGCCAUUCCUUCACUGUUGCUGGCUCAAAAUCCUAGAACUCCUUUCCUAACAGUACUGUGGGUGUACAUACACCAAAUAGACUGCAGCGGUUCAAGAAGACAGCUCACCACUACCUUCUCAAGGGCAAUUAAGGAUGAACAAUAAAUGCUGGCCUAGCCAGUGAAGCCCACAUCCCAUGACUGAAUUAAAUAAAACAGUUAAAAAAAGAAAAACUGGAAAGAUUUUGAAUUUUGAACCAAAAUGUGCUUUACUGUUAAUUGCUAUAUGUAUUUUGUUCUAUUUGUGAAUUAACUGAAUUCAUCAAAUUAUCUGUGCUACAACUGAUGUAGUGAAGGUUUGUCUAUGUUUGGACCAAGGCUGUAAUGAGGUCAGGAAUUGAGUGGCCCUGGCAGAACCCAGUGAGCAUGUUAUUGCUAAGCAAGUGUCGCUUGA